rnacentral:rRNA from 1 species
GUAUAAGAGACAGCAGUAGCCGCGGUAAUACGUAGGUGGCAAGCGUUGUCCGGAAUUAUUGGGCGUAAAGGGCUCGCAGGCGGUUUCUUAAGUCUGAUGUGAAAGCCCCCGGCUCAACCGGGGAGGGUCAUUGGAAACUGGGAAACUUGAGUGCAGAAGAGGAGAGUGGAAUUCCACGUGUAGCGGUGAAAUGCGUAGAGAUGUGGAGGAACACCAGUGGCGAAGGCGACUCUCUGGUCUGUAACUGACGCUGAGGAGCGAAAGCGUGGGGAGCGAACAGGAUUAGAUACCCCCGUAGUCCCUGUCUCUUAUAC